rnacentral:rRNA from 1 species
UACGAAGGGGGCUAGCGUUGUUCGGAAUCACUGGGCGUAAAGGGCGCGUAGGCGGCUUUGUAAGUCGGGGGUGAAAGCCUGUGGCUCAACCACAGAAUUGCCUUCGAUACUGCAUGGCUUGAGACCGGAAGAGGUAAGUGGAACUGCGAGUGUAGAGGUGAAAUUCGUAGAUAUUCGCAAGAACACCAGUGGCGAAGGCGGCUUACUGGUCCAUAACUGACGCUGAGGUGCGAAAGCGUGGGGAGCAAACAGGAGUUAGAAACCCGA